CUUGGAGAGUUCAUCAAUGAGCUUGACGCCUUGAUAAGUUCCUUUCCUGAGGAUGGCUCACCCCUCACAAUUCUGGACCAUUUCCGGAGGCUUUCUCCCUUACCUCACCUCACUCAUCAACUCAUCCUUGACCGCUGGCUAUGUCCCUUCCGUCUUCAAGAGAGCAAGAGUUGCACCCCUUCUCAAAAAACCAACACUCGAUCCCUCCGAUGUCAACAACUACAGACCAACCUAUCUGCUGCCUUUGAUACUGUGAACCAUCAGAUCCUCCUCUCCACCCUCUCCGAGAUGGGCAUCUCCGGCG
rnacentral:lncRNA from 1 species